AAACUUAAGCAUAUCAUUCAGCGGAGGAAAAGAAACCAACAGGGAUUGCCUCAGUAACGGCGAGUGAAGCGGCAAGAGCUCAGAUUUGAAAUCGGCCAACCGGCUGAGUUGUAAUCUGUAGAGGAAGGUUCGGUUGAAGUGCUGGCUAAAGUCUUCUGGAAGGGAGCGCCGUAGAGGGUGAGAGCCCCGUCUAGCCUGCGUCUGACGCCAUGUGUACCUCCUUCGAAGAGUCGAGUUGUUUGGGAAUGCAGCUCAAAAUGGGUGGUAAAUUCCAUCUAAAGCUAAAUAUAAGCCAAAGACCGAUAGCGCACAAGUAGAGUGAUCGAAAGAUGAAAAGCACUUUGGAAAGAGAGUGAAACAGUACGUGAAAUUGUUGAAAGGGAAGCGCUUGUGGUCAGACUUGCGCGCAGUUGCUCAGCCGUUCUUUGAGCGGUGCACUCGACUGCGCUCAGGCCAGCAUCGGUUUGGGCGGCUGGAUAAAGUCUUGAGAAAUGUGGCCUCUCGGGGUGUUAUAGUCUCUUGAACAAUACAGUCAGCCUGGACCGAGGACAGCGUUCGCUAGGAUGCUGGCGUAAUGGCCAUCAGCGACCCGUCUUGAAACACGGACCAAGGAGUUGAUCUCUUGUGCGAGUCUUUGAGUGUUAAACUCGGGGGCGCAAUGAAAGUGAACGUAGGUGAGAGCUUAGGCGCAUCAUCGACCGAUCCGGACGUUCUCUGAUGGAUUUGAGUAUGAGCAUGAGUGAUCUGACCCGAAA
rnacentral:rRNA from 1 species